UAUCCAUUUCAGUGAACAGAU
rnacentral:siRNA from 1 species